rnacentral:rRNA from 1 species
CAAAGGAGCAAUCCGCUGAAAGAUGGGCUCGCGUCCGAUUAGGUAGUUGGUGGGGUAACGGCCCACCAAGCCGACGAUCGGUAGCCGGACUGAGAGGUUGGACGGCCACAUUGGGACUGAGACACGGCCCAGACUCCUACGGGAGGCAGCAGUAAGGGAUAUUGGUCAAUGGGGGAAACCCUGAACCAGCAACGCCGCGUGAGGGAAGACGGUUUUCGGAUUGUAAACCUCUGUCCUCUGUGAAGAUGAUGACGGUAGCAGAGGAGGAAGCUCCGGCUAACUACGUGCCAGCAGCCGCGGUAAUACGUAGGGAGCGAGCGUUGUCCGGACUUACUGGGUGUAAAGGGUGCGUAGGCGGCUUGGCAAGUCAGUAGUGAAAUCCAUGGGCUUAACCCAUGAACUGCUAUUGAAACUGUCGAGCUUGAGUGAAGUAGAGGUAGGCGGAAUUCCCGGUGUAGCGGUGAAAUGCGUAGAGAUCGGGAGGAACACCAGUGGCGAAGGCGGCCUACUGGGCUUUAACUGACGCUGAGGCACGAAAGCGUGGGUAGCAAACAGGAUUAGAUACCCUGGUAGUCCACGCUGUAAACGAUGAUUACUAGGUGUGGGUGGACUGACCCCAUCC